rnacentral:tRNA from 1 species
GGUCAGAUGGCCGAGUGGUUAUGGCGCUAGUUUCAGGCUGUGGAAACAGUGUUGAAGACCAAAUACUAGUGGGUUAUUCCGCGUGGGUUCGAGUCCCACUCUGGUAC